AAUUUACACAAAAUUUUUGAAUUGAUUAAAACACUAAUGAAUUGCUCCUAUGACCAAUAUAACUUACACUAAAUUGUCCCAUAUCAAUUACACUAGUGUUAUCUUUUGAAUUUAGAAAUAGAAGUUACUAAAUGUUGGUGGCUCCUCAUGCAGUGCAUUUGAGAAAAGCAUGCUUUUAAAGUAAUCCAGCGUGACAAAAAAAAUAUAUAUAUGAAGCAACUUUUCGAUGUUAUUCAAAUCAGAUGGAAUCAAAGAACAAACCAUUACAACAAUUCAAUAAACCAAUACCUGUUGCAGUUGUAAAACCGUACAAUCCAGAACAACCAAAACCAAAUAUAUAUAUGUGCGAUUGAAGUUAUAAUCAAAUACAUAGUUGGGAAGUUCGUUAAGAGCUAAUAUAUUUUUUUUAUCAAUUAUAGAAGUUGUUUUUUGCAUUUUAAAUGAAAGUUUUAAAUUUUACUUAAAAAAGUGCUUUACGAUUAUACAACUUUUUUCAACCUGUUGGAAAUUUUGUUAUAUCAAGUUCAUUACAAAACAAAUAUCUAUAUAAAAUCUGAAGAAUUUACAAAAUUGUUGCUAAAACUGUUCUUGUUUCCGUUGCAGCUAAUAUUAUUUAGCUGCAACGGAAACAAUUGGAAUUAUUCAUUUUAUUCUUUGUCAGUUUAUAAUCAAAAUAAAUGAAUAUGAACCUGAAAGAAAUGAAGACGAAAUGUAGAGAAGUGUUAAAUAAUACUGAAAAAAGAAAAUAUAAAUUAAUCGAAGAAAUUAUGGACAAGUUAGAUUGUAUUGUAGAAAUAACAAUCUUUACAAAUUUAAAAGAACUUUAUGAUUUUCGUUUUUUAUUAACGUGUAUACGAAAAAAAUAUUUUUAUAUUAUUGUUAUUGAUACUCCGGGUUAUAACGAGAAUCAAUCGAGUUUCGAAUCGUUUAUCAUAUGAAAAUGUGAUAUACAUAACAAAAGUUUAGUCGUAUUAUUAAAACGCUUGGAAAAUUUUGUUAAUUAUUAUAAGGGUUACGAAAAAUUUAAUUUAAAACACGAGCAUGUAUACGGUUGUAUUACAAUAUUUAAUAAAUUGA